GACGAAGCGCAAGUGACGGUAUGUGCAGAAGAAGGACCGGCCAACUACGUGCCAGCAGCCGCGGUAAUACGUAGGGUCCGAGCGUUGUCCGGAAUUAUUGGGCGUAAAGGGCUCGUAGGCGGUUUGUCGCGUCGGGAGUGAAAACUCGGAGCUUAACUCCGAGCCUGCUUCCGAUACGGGCAGACUAGAGGUAUGCAGGGGAGAACGGAAUUCCUGGUGUAGCGGUGAAAUGCGCAGAUAUCAGGAGGAACACCGGUGGCGAAGGCGGUUCUCUGGGCAUUACCUGACGCUGAGGAGCGAAAGUGUGGGGAGCGAACAGGAUUAGAUACCCUGGUAGUCCACACCGUAAACGUUGGGCGCUAGGUGUGGGACACAUUCCACGUGUUCCGUGCCGCAGCUAACGCAUUAAGCGCCCCGCCUGGGGAGUACGGCCGCAAGGCUAAAACUCAAAUGAAUUGACGG
rnacentral:rRNA from 1 species